AAAAAAUAAAAAUUAAACAGAGUAAAAAUUAAAAUAAAAUAACACAAGUUACUCGUCGUUUUUUUUUAACUUGCAUUUCUUUGACUAUCACUAUUCAUAUACGGAGUACUAAGUUUGACUUGAGUUUUUUUCACGAAUAUAUAGUAAUCAAAUUGUUAUUAUAUAAAAUGUCUUUUAUCCUUCGUUCUUUUCCCCUCUCCCAAGUAGUUAAUUUCAACAACUGCUCUUAUCAAAUUCCUCUCCCUUUCAUUUAUUCCUCUUUCUACUAUCACCCUUUUCCAAACUUCAUCAAAUUUCAUAUCCCAUCCUUGUUGAUCUGUUGGUUUGUUUUCUUGCCCUAAGAAUUGCUAUACAAUAAUAGAUUUUGAUUAAAAUUUCAAUCUCGAUUUUAUUAUAGAAUUUAUGUUUAGGUUGAAAUUGCGAUAUAAUGUUGUCGUUGUUGUAGAUUUAUGAAAAAAGAUGAAUAAAAGAAAUAGAAGUGAUGAGCGUUUCAAUUGGGGUAAGUUUAUGUUGAAAUCAUUUGGAUUUAUAAUCAAUUAAUAUGUGAACCAUUCUUUCAGAUUGCUAAUAUACAUAUUUGAUUGAUAUUGGUGGCAAAUUUCACGGGGUAUGUUUCAUUUUCUACUUUUUAUUGUUAAUUUAAAUAAAAUAGAUAAGAAGUCAAGUUGAUGAUUAUUUUAGUGACUUUUCGUGUGUAGUCGACAAAUCAUACAAAUCUGUUGAUGCUUAAUUGUUCGUUUCUUUCUUCUAUAUUCACAAAUAUGCUCCCAGUUUGUAUAUCCUUGAACUUUUAGUUUUGGUGUUGUUUUGAUGGUUGAAUAUUUCUGAUGUCCCUCUAUUUUUAUCAUUCGUGCAUUCCUCUUUAAUUGAACUACAUGUGACAAGUUUUUUUUCUUUUCUUCUGUAACCGUUUUUCCUAACUUUUAUCUUGAGUUUUGUAAUAUGUCUUGAGAAUUAGUUGAUUUUUUAGAUUAAUUUGUAGUCCUUGAUUUGUUGAAUGGGUAUGAAUUAUAUUUUUUUUCCGGUUGAUUUUUAUAAUAUGCUCUUAUUCAUUUCUUGAGUUUUGUAAUAUGAUGCUUAAUGAUUUUGUUUAGACUUGAAGAUCGAGUUGGAAGGUUUGUUCCCAUAGAGAAAGGCAUCAGUCAAAUGUUUACACGCCUCUGUUUCUUCAUCUUCCCUAAAAGCUUACAAAAUACAGAGUUAUUUUGACAUUCCUUUCUAGCUUUAGGAUUUUUAUAAAGAUAUAACGGGUUAAAGCUAUGCAUUGACAAGCGAGAAAAGCCAAAGAUUGCAACUAAGAAGAAAAUCACCAUUACAUCACGUCUUUUUGACUCUGCUGAAGGCGUAAAGCAAGAGAAGCCAAAGAUUGCAACUAAGAAGAAAAUCACCAUUUCAUCACGUCUUUUUGACACUUCUGAAGGAGGUUCACAGAUUUUAAGUGAAAGAAGGAAAUUUAUAAGUUACUGUCGUGACACUCUACUUGAAGGUAUAGUUGUGCUUAGGAUAUGGCUACAUAAAAGAACGGUCCAUUGACUUUUUGUGUUGUAUUUUAAUAUAAGAACUUAAUUAGGACUAAGGAUAGUCGGUAAUGACGC